rnacentral:rRNA from 1 species
UCGGAUCGCAGGCUGCAACUCGCCUGCGUCAAGUUGGAAUUGCUAGUAAUCGCGGAUCAGCAUGCCGCGGUGAAUACGUUCCCGGGCCUUGUACACACCGCCCGUCACACCAUGAGAGUCGGGAACACCCGAAGUCCGUAGUCUAACCGCAAGGAGGGCGCGGCCGAAGGUGGGUUCGAUAAUUGGGGUGAAGUCGUAACAAGGUAAC